rnacentral:rRNA from 1 species
CCUGGUUGAUCCUGCCAGUAGUCAUAUGCUUGUGUCAAAGAUUAAGCCAUGCAUGUGUAAGUAUGAACGAAUGCAGACUGUGAAACUGCGAAUGGCUCAUUAAAUCAGUUAUAGUUUGUUUGAUGGUAACUACUACUCGGAUAACCGUAGAAAUUCUAGAGCUAAUACGUGCAACAAACCCCAACUUCUGGAAGGGAUGCAUUUAUUAGAUAAAAGGUCGACGCGGGCUCUGCCCGUUGCUCUGAUGAUUCAUGAUAACUCGACGGAUCGCAUGGCCUUAGUGCUGGCGAUGCAUCAUUCAAAUUUCUGCCCUAUCAACUUUCGAUGGUAGGAUAUUGGCCUACCAUGGUGGUAACGGGUGAUGGAGAAUUAGGGUUCGAUUCCGGAGAGGGAGCCAGAGAAACAGCUACCACAUCCAAGGAAGGCAGCAGGCGCAGAAAUUACCCAAUCCUUACACGGGGAGGUAGUGACAAUAAAUUACAAUACCGGGCUCUUUGAGUCUGGUAAUUGGAAUGAGUACUAUCUAAAUCCCUUAACGAGGAUCCAUUGGAGGACAAGUCUGGUGCCAGAAGCCGCGGUAAUUCCAGCUCUUAUAGCGUAUAUUUAAAUUGUUGCAGUUAAAAAUCUCGUAGUUGAACCUUGGGAUGGGUCGCCCGGUCCGCCUUCGGUGAGCACCAGUCGGCUUGUCUCUUUUGUCGGCGAUAUGCUCAUGGCCUUAACUGGCCGGGUCGUGCCUCCGGCGCUGUUACUUUGAAGAAAUUAGAGUGCUCAAAGCAAGCCUACGCUCUGUAUACAUUAGCAUGGGAUAACAUCAUAGGAUUUCGAUCCUAUUGUGUUGGCCUUCGGGAUCAAAGUACUGAUUAACAGGGACAGUCGGUGUAAUAGCCGUCACGAGCCAAUAAAUUUAUGGUCGAGAUAAAUCCCGCUCGACCAGUUUUUUUUAGUUGGUUCGACAAGGAUUAAUAAAAAUAAAAAUCGACCGUUAGAUUAAUUUCUCGACGGGACUGUCUUGUGGUUGAGAGACCUUCACUUGAUAGUUUGGUCGAGUCUUAAAUAUUUUGGUUGAAUUUUUAUUAAGCUGGACGAGAUUUUCCGAGAAUAAGACGAGAGCCAAAGACAAAGAAUAUUUGGUUGAAAAAUUAUUUAAAACUGUCAACCAACUUCCAAAAUAAUUUUUGAACUGAGUUAUGUCCUCCACCAGCUUGGUUGUGCAGUUAUUCAGUCUUAAACUUGCACCUGCCUGCUUACCUAACUUCUUCAGUAACUGGCACAUGACAAUCACAAGCUGCCUGCUUGCCUUGUUUCUUAGAUUGUCAUAUGAGAAGCACAUGAAAGGGCUGGAGUUUCUUCAGGUUAAGGAAAGGACAGCAGCUUGUGCUGAGACUGCUGAAGCAGCUGGC